rnacentral:misc_RNA from 1 species
GAAAUGCGAUAAGUAAUGUGAAUUGCAGAAUUCAGUGAAUCAUCGAAUCUUUGAACGCACAUUGCGCCCCCUGGUAUUCCGGGGGGCAUGCCUGUUCGAGCGUCAUUUCACCACUCAAGCCUCGCUUGGUAUUGGGCAACGCGGUCCGCCGCGUGCCUCAAAUCGACCGUCUGGGUCUUCUGUCCCCUAAGCGUUGUGGAAACUAUUCGCUAAAGGGUGUUCGGGAGGCUACGCCGUAAAACAACCCCAUUUCUAAGGUUGACCUCGGAUCAGGUAGGGAUACCCGCUGAACUUAAGC